rnacentral:rRNA from 1 species
GAUGAACGCUGGCGGCGUGCCUAAUACAUGCAAGUCGAGCGAACGGACGAGAAGCUUGCUUCUCUGAUGUUAGCGGCGGACGGGUGAGUAACACGUGGAUAACCUACCUAUAAGACUGGGAUAACUUCGGGAAACCGGAGCUAAUACCGGAUGAUAUUUUGAACCGCAUGGUUCAAAAGUGAAAGACGGUCUUGCUGUCACUUAUAGAUGGAUCCGCGCUGCAUUAGCUAGUUGGUAAGGUAAUGGCUUACCAAGGCAACGAUGCAUAGCCGACCUGAGGGGGUGAUCGGCCACACUGGAACUGAGACACGGUCCAGACUCCUACGGGAGGCAGCAGUAGGGAAUCUUCCGCAAUGGGCGAAAGCCUGACGGAGCAACGCCGCGUGAGUGAUGAAGGUCUUCGGAUCGUAAAACUCUGUUAUUAGGGAAGAACAUAUGUGUAAGUAACUGUGCACAUCUUGACGGUACCUAAUCAGAAAGCCACGGCUAACUACGUG